GUGAAUCAUCAAAUUUUUGAACGCAAAUUGCACUCUCCUCGGAGGGUAUGCCUGUUUGAGGGUCAGCCCAUAAAAAAUCGACAUCGUUGCUGUUUCGCGGUGGCGUUCGUCGGAAAUUGGGUCAUCUUAAAUCUUUUGGUUUUAAGCGACUUAAAAUUUUCUUUUUGAUUCCAUGAACGUUUCUAAGAUUUAUUUCUUUACACGUUUAAGGUAUCGAUUUUUUUUAGCCGUGCUUAUAAUAUCGAAUCGCCCCCAAA
rnacentral:misc_RNA from 1 species